UGGGGGAUCGUCUAAUGGUCGGACAUGCGCCUUUGAAGCGUAGAAUCUUGGUUCGAUUCCAAGUCCCCCAG
rfam:Candidatus Taylorbacteria bacterium RIFCSPHIGHO2_02_FTLL_45_35 rifcsphigho2_02_scaffold_9070, whole genome shotgun sequence.